CGCCGCAUUCACAACACAAGAAUGGAUUCUUCAAAAAUUUGUCUAUCCAUGAAACUGAAGAUCAAGCACAAACCACAAUGGUUUAGUUUUGUUAAUUGUUGAAUAAUAUAUCAUAAUGAUCUAUCCCUCUCAAAAAAAAACUUGAAAUAAUACACUAGUCUUUUUCUCGUUUGGGACGUGGAAUUAUGCCUAUUUGAUCCUAUCCAUCCAUGGAGACUAUAAAAAUCCUAAACCAAAACCAUAACAAUCAGAUCCAGAUUCAGAUGUUCUUUUUUCAUCUGCUGCUGCGGGAAUCACAAGAAUGGAUCCUUCAAAAAUCUGUCUAUCCAUGAAAAUCAAGAUCAAAUCAAAGGCAUGUUUUCGUUUUGUUGAUUGAAUCAUACAGCUUGUUCAUCUUUUGAACUUCAGAUGUUGGCUUCAAUUGGUGGAAGUGGAAGCACUGACAUACUUACAGGAAACAUUGAGUUCCUCAAACUUUUAUAAGUUCAUAUCAAAUACUUGGCAACUCCUCAUGGACCAUUUUCAUACAGUGGAGCAAAAUUAUCCUGCCAAGUAGCUUCGUGUAAUUGGAGCAUGAAAUUGGCGAACUGGGAAGUUUCAUCUAUGAAUCCUACCAUUGUCUUGGGGAGCUGCGUAGCUGGUAGAUCAACAUUUUCAAGAUGUCACUCCUCCAGAGACAGUCAUAAAGAAUGCCCUAGCUAGAGACAUAAUCUGGGAAUGAUAUAUCGAUACCUUCCAGGAUGUGACAUCGAGAAGAAACUAAGGUACUUCUUUUAGCUACAUUACAUAUAUUAAGAGAUGAAGGACUUGCUUUUUGUUCCAUCAAUUUUUAAACGAGAAACAAGUUCUAUUAACAUUACCUUUUGGUUCGUUAUAGUGUAAUCCUACUAACAUUCUUGCUCAUAGUUCUGCUUGUAAACUCAGAAUCUUUCUUUCUAGACUGUUAUACUAGUUGGAUUGCAGGAAAAGGAAAACAAUAGGAGUAUAUUUUUCAAGGAAAGCCUAAUAACAGUCCUGAGAACUAGCUUUAAAGUUCUGGAAUCCUGAUUCUUUUAAGGCUGACUAUGAGACUUCUUUUAUUGAUGAGACUGAUCAUAUUUGUAAGGAACCUCCAGAGUCCAGAGCAUGACUUGAAAAUCAAUCUACUUCAUGGUAGUCUGCUUCUUCAUUAGCAGGUUCUUGACUGAUGGUUGUUGGAACAGCUCUCAAGGCUUGCUUUGGAUGCUUCACAGCCACAAGUUCAGAAGAAGCCGAACCUUUAGUGUUAAGGACAGAGGCUGAGUGGACAACAGAAAAGUCUUUGCAAUUUUUUUCGACUGAAGCCCGCUGCAAAAGACUCAUUUGAAAAGCUCAAGGAAGCAUCCCCACGAUCAAACCACAGAGUGAAGAAAUACUAAGAGAGAAAAUUUAUCUUGUCUAGAGCUCCAAAAUCUACUUCUUUGGGUUUUCUGUUCAUCUCUAGGAAGGGUAAUAGAGUGACAAACAAACUAGCCAACGAAGCAAGGAAGUCUAGCUGGUAUCAAGACUGGAACUCUGACACUUUAAUGCCUAGUUAUAGAUAUCAAGGAUGAUAGAUCUUUCCCCCGUUUAUCUAAAAUCUAUCCCAGCUUGUAAUUAUGUUCAAACUUCUAGAGAGACACUCAUAUUGGAGGCUAUACGUACAUCACCUCCUGUUGCUAUGUGAGGAGCAACCAACAUAAGAUGAUCAGAGCUUUGAUCGCAAACUCCUUUAUUGACGGCAGUGCACUGUACAUAAGUUACAUGUUAAUGAACCCUAU